rnacentral:rRNA from 1 species
AAAGAGGUCAUAUUUGCGGUAUACGUACAUAUGACACGAUCGCAUCGUAUUAGGUAUUAGGUACUCAUGACUUUGAUAGCUUAUCUAGCCUUAUACGUAGCUUGUCAUAAACGAAGCGAGUCACAAGGGCCAUGAAAGAAAGGCCUUCCAUCAUAGUAUGGCAGCAGUGCGUAGUUAUUGUCAAUAUGUGAAAGCAUGAACAUGACGUUUAGGAGAGCACAGCACAGCAUUCUUAAUGUUAUAGCCCUGGCCAAUCUCGUGCCAGCAGCCGCGGUAAGACGAGAAGGGCGUGCUUAUUACGUAAGAAAUAGGUAAUAUCGAGUGAAGGCGUGAUAGUCAAUGUAAGUAUGGCAUAAUAUGGCAUGUAACAGUAAAAUGUUGACAUAUGCUAUGGAAUGCCUAUGACGUAGGUAGCCUAACACAAUGACUGAAGCUGUAACUCGGAAGCUUAGGUAGCGAACCGGAUUAGAUACCCGCAGUAGUCUAAGCCGUCAAAAUGACUACGAUAUAUAUAGUAGUAUACCUGGUGAUACGUCCCCAAGGAUAGUAAUCAUAGAAAUUGGCAGCCAUAGGCAUACGCUGUGGAUUAUGCUGUUAACCCAUAUGGUUCCAAGGUUUACCAUAAGCAGCCUUAAUAUAGCAUCACAUACUGUUAGUAUAGCAUCACAUACUGUUAGUAUCGUAAACAUACCCUCUGUAUAGCAUCACAUACUGUUAGUAUCGUAAACAUACCCUCUGUAUAGCAUCACAUACUGUUAGUAUAGCAUCACAUACUGUUAGUAUAGCAUCACAUACUGUUAGUAUAGUAAACAUACCCUCUGUAUAGCAUCACAUACUGUUAGUAUAGUAAACAUACCCUCUGUAUAGCUUCUGUAUAGCUUCUGUAUAUCCUCCGUAUACCUUCCUUACACAUCGUAUACAGUACACAUCGUAUACUGUACACGUCGUAUACUGUACACGUCGUAUACUGUUUGUAUGUUAACUAUACCCCCUUCCUUACACGUCGUAUACUGCACACGUCGUAUACUGCACACGUCGUAUACAGUUAGUAUGUUAACGAUACCGCACACGUCGUAUACAGUUAGUAUGUUAACGAUACCGCACACGUCGUAUACAGUUAGUAUGUUAACGAUACCGCACACGUCGUAUACCGCACACGUCGUAUACAGUUAGUAUGUUAACGAUACCCCCCUCCCUUACACGUCGUAUACGGUUAGUAUGUUAACUAUACCCCCUCCCUUAUGUUUAGCUUAUUAAGUAAAAGGUGGCUGUAUGCUGAGAGGCAUUGUACCUGACAAGGUUACUUAAAGGCUGAGUACCUAUGAUGUGAGCCCAUUGUGUCUUAGAUACGGGCUUACCCCGAAGGGCUCGCCUGUUCUACAGGCGUUGUAUACACAAGUCGUAUACACAAGUCGUAUACACGAGUCGUAUACACAAGUCGUAUACACAAGUCGUAUACACGAGUCGUAUACACAAGUCGUAUACACGAGUCGUAUACAUAAGUCGUAUACACGAGUAGUAUACGACUCGUGUAUAGGUUAACCAAACGUUGAGGGUAGGAUACAAUCAGCAGGUAUUGGAUACGUAAUGUAACACCUUCGUAUAUAGGGUCGUAUCCUUUCUAUAUACCUCAGAGACUAUACGCUACACAUAUACUGAAUAUAUAGCCCAGGCUUAACUAUCGUGUAGUUAACCAAACCCUGUUAAUAGGAAGCUACGCCUAAAACCUUACCAUUCUUCAUAUAAUAAC